UACAGAGGUCUCAAGCGUUGUUCGGAUUCAUUGGGCGUAAAGGGUGCGUAGGCGGCUUGUCGCGUCGACUGUGAAAUCCCGCGGCUCAACUGCGGGUCUGCAGUCGAUACGGGCAGGCUAGAGUUCGGUAGGGGAGACUGGAAUUCCUGGUGUAGCGGUGAAAUGCGCAGAUAUCAGGAGGAACACCGGUGGCGAAGGCGGCUUUCUGGGCCUUACCUGACGCUGAGGAGCGAAAGCUGGGGGGAGCAAACAGG
rnacentral:rRNA from 1 species